UACGGAGGGUUCAAGCGUUAUCCGGAUUCACUGGGUUUAAAGGGUGUGUAGGCGGGUAUUUAAGUCAGUGGUGAAAUCUCCGGGCUCAACCCGGAAACUGCCAUUGGUACUAUUUAUCUUGAAAAUUGUUGAGGUAGGCGGAAUAUAUCAUGUAGCGGUGAAAUGCAUAGAUAUGACUUAGAACACCAAUUGCGAAGGCAGCUUGCUAAACAAAUAUUGACGCUGAGGCACGAAAGCGUGGGGAUCAAACAGG
rnacentral:rRNA from 1 species